UGCGGGUGGGGGUCCAGGCUGGCCACUUUCACUGCGCAGGCGCCAGGAGCUCCUCCUCUGCGGCCCCCCGGGCAGACGAUGGGCGCUGCGCAGGCCGCCUCCUGGGCUUGGGUGGUGGGCGCCAUCUUUAGAUGCUACGCUUUCUACAUUAUCUUUCACUUUCUGCGCCAAAAAGUGGCCACCUCCCUUUGCCUCUAGGGGUCUGAGGCGAGGGGCGGACAUUGCAGGACCCGGCUCUGUGGGCGUCUCCUUAUUCCCCCACCCCCACUGUCAUAGAGAGGUUGCUUAGUGGGUCCCUACUGUGGGCCAGGCACGAGGACGGCCCUCAAAUGGAGGGGAGCGACACAGUCCACGUCGCAGGACCUGGCCCGGACCCUCGGGGAGACCUUUUGCAGCGGUCAUGGGGUGGAGCGCGCAUGCGCAGGCCAGGCCGCCGGUCGGGGAAUUCUUUGUGGACCUAUCUCCAAGACCUUGAAAGGCCGCACCCUACACAGCUUAUCUGUUUCUGUCAACUGUCUUGCUCUGUUGCCCAGGCUGGAGUGCAGUUAAACAGCU